ACCUUUUUGUAGUUCCUAAGCAUGGCGAUUGGCUGCUCACCGCGUGUGUUGACGUGCGCCUCCCUCAGACCUUGCUACUGCCUCGGCACAUUACCCACGUGAGG